CCUGGGUCUUGGACUGGAACCACACCACCGGCUUUCCUGGACUUCCAGCUUGCAGAGGGACUUCUCAGCCUCCAAAAUCGAGCCCCUUGCAAAUGGAAGUCUAAAGAGUUCUACAAUGAUUUAUGAAGAAACUCAAAGACACACAAUUUAUAGGAAGAAAAUUUCUGAGAAUAAGAACUUCUUGGAAAAAUAAUUGCAGCAUCAAAGAAUGCUCUGGAUGAAACAGGU